UUUCCGUAGGUGAACCUGCGGAAGGAUCAUUACUGAGUCGUCGACACGAGUUGUUGCUGGUCCCUGAACAGGGGACACGUGCACGCUCUGUUUACACAUCCACUCACACCUGUGCACCCUCUGUAGUUCUAUGGUCUGGGGGGCCCUGCCUCCCUUCUGUGGUUCUGCAUCUUUACACACACACCGUAAUAAAGUCUUAUGGAAUGUACACCGCGUUUAACGCAAUACAAUACAACUUUCAGCAACGGAUCUCUUGGCUCUCGCAUCGAUGAAGAACGCAGC
rnacentral:misc_RNA from 1 species